rnacentral:lncRNA from 1 species
CUUUAAAUCUUUCUUUUGUCAUGAGAGUGGGGAAAACAUCAUGAAUAAAUAAUCGAAUCCCAGAGCAGCACUCGGCGCUGAUCUAUGGGUCAUUCGGGAGGUGAACUUGAUCUAAAGAUUUAUUCAAACUUUACAAGACAGCCGGGCUGUUUGUGCUGGAAAUAUCGCUACAGUACAAUGUAUUUUCUCAUGCCUGUCCAAUUAGAAAAGUAUUCUUUGCCGUUACGCGAUACUGCAGUCGGACAGUGGUGUGAAAACACGAACUGAAUUCCACCGUGCUAUGUAGGUGGCUCUGCUUGGGCACGGCAAUAAAGCCGGGGCUAUUAGCAAAGGGUAAUUUAAAUCGGAAGAUGGAAUCAGAGGAGCUCUCUGCAAACCAGGGGGUGUCACGGUGGGACCACACCCCUGGAUUUCAGACACAUUUCCCUUUGCCUAUGGCACUUGUCAAGCCGGGAGUCCCUUCAGUAGCUGCGUUUUGAAGCUGAGCAGUUUGGCUGAAUGGAAUGUUAAUUUGAUAUUUAAUAACAUCACGCGUAAGCAGCAUCGCUGACUCGAGCAGAGCUCUGAGCUCCGGCACGGCCCCUCUGUCCCCAGCCAACAUAACAGUUCAAUACAGACAGCCAGGAAAAUUAAUAAAUAAAUAAAAUAAAUUAAAAAAAAAAAAAAGAAAAGAAAGAAAAAAAGAAAAAAAGAACUUCCCUCCCCCACAUCCCUGCUUUAUCCGAGCAUUGAUUUUUACAAAAUGGCCGGAAAAUGAGCGGUGAGCACCUCUCGAGCAAAGCGACAGAGUCGCUGCUGCCAUCCGUGGGGCGCUGCUGCCACCUCGCGACAAAGGGAUGCGGGGACGGAGGGAUGCGGGGACCUUCCAACGGGGCGGCCCCGGCCCCGGGGCGCUGCUGGCAAAGCGGUACGGAAAUAAGGAGAAUGAACUGUAAGGGAGCACAAAGGGUGGAAGCUACUGUAAAGCACAGAAGAAGAGCUGAGGAUAUUGUUCAUUACUCCUGUAUUUCCUCUCAAAAAACUGCUUCUGCAGAUAUAGAAAGGAAAUGGACAGGAAAG